UACGGAGGGAGCUAGCGUUGUUCGGAAUUACUGGGCGUAAAGCGCACGUAGGCGGCUUUGUAAGUUGGAGGUGAAAGCCCGGGGCUCAACUCCGGAACUGCCUUUAAGACUGCAUCGCUUGAAUCCGGGAGAGGUGAGUGGAAUUCCGAGUGUAGAGGUGAAAUUCGUAGAUAUUCGGAAGAACACCAGUGGCGAAGGCGGCUCACUGGCCCGGUACUGACGCUGAGGUGCGAAAGCGUGGGGAGCAAACAGG
rnacentral:rRNA from 1 species